rnacentral:rRNA from 1 species
GACGAACGCUGGCGGCGUGCCUAACACAUGCAAGUCGAGCGAAUGAAGUUCCUUCGGGAAUGGAUUUAGCGGCGGACGGGUGAGUAACACGUGGGCAACCUGCCUCAUAGAGGGGAAUAGCCUUCCGAAAGGGAGAUUAAUACCGCAUAAGAUUGUAGUACCGCAUGAUACAGCAAUUAAAGGAGUAAUCCGCUAUGAGAUGGGCCCGCGGCGCAUUAGCUAGUUGGUGAGGUAACGGCUCACCGAGGCGACGAUGCGUAGCCGACCUGAGAGGGUGAUCGGCCACAUUGGGACUGAGACACGGCCCAGACUCCUACGGGAGGCAGCAGUGGGGAAUAUUGCACAAUGGGGGAAACCCUGAUGCAGCAACGCCGCGUGAGUGAUGACGGCCUUCGGGUUGUAAAGCUCUGUCUUCAGGGACGAUAAUGACGGUACCUGAGGAGGAAGCCACGGCUAACUACGUGCCAGCCGCCGCCGUAACAC